ensembl:lncRNA
CCAGUUGUCAUUUAGACUGCUGCUUGUGCUGUGAAAAAUUUCUCAAGUUCACUGUGUCCUUAUAUGACUGUCUCAAUGUCUAAAGCAGGAUAUGGAGAUGGCAGAACCUGAGUCACGUGCUGGUGUCUUCUUUAUACCCAGCGUUUGCCCACACUUCGCAUCCCAGCCAAGUGACUGCUGCUGUUCUUCACUCUCCAAGACAAGAUCUGGGCAGGAUGAGGAAUCAGAGGAAAAUUCAUGUGGGAUUGAAUCAUCAAGCCCUGUCUUCUUCAGAAGGCAUGUGUUAAACAAUGAACUACACUUGGAUACAUGGAAGGAAGAGAAAGAGAGGACAUUUCAAGUGUUGAAACAAAGACAAAGGUACACAGGCAUGUGGGCAUUGUUGUAGAUACCAGCAUAGAAUCAGAUAAAGGGUAAAAGCCAUAUUUACAAAACCCAAAAGAAUAGCUUAGUUUAUUUCUUGGUUUAUUUGGAAUGUUCUAGAAUGAUGCUAGGCCAUUCUUUCAUUGCUAUAAAUAAAUAUCUAAGGCUCAUAGUUCUGCAGCCUGCAUAAACAUGGUGCCAGCAUCUGCUCGACUGCUGGGGAGGCCUCAGGGAGUUUUUACUUAAGGUGGAAGGCAAAAUGAAAGCGAGCACAUCACACGACAAGAGCAGGAGCAGUAGAGAGGAGGACGUGCCACACUGUUAAACAACUGGAUCUUGUGUGAACUCAUAGUGAGAACACAUUCAUUGCCAUAGAUGUUGUGCUAUGUCAUCCAUGAGAGAUCUAUUCCCAUGAUCCAGUCACCUCCCACCAGGACCCCUCUCCAACACUGGGGAUUACAUUUCAACGUAAAAUGUGGGUGUGACAAAAAUACAAACCUUAUCAAAUGAGUUGAUAUGGGUUAUAGAUACAUAGUUAGGCUUUAAAAAGAAGGCACUUUGCCUCUUUUGUCUUUUUAAACAUCAUCUUCAUACAAAUAGGUCACAAAUUUUCAUUGGCUUCAUAAGCCUUUGUAUUAGUAUAUCAAUUGGGCUAUCAUUACAAAGAAAGUAAGCUAUUGAACAUGCAGGCUACAUAUGUAUAGAGGAAGGUCUUAAGUCAGCAUGUUUAAUGCAUAUGGUGGAGAGGCAUACCAUUCUCUUUGAUGCCUGUUGGAUGGAUGGUUUUGGAGGAAGUGCCAGCCAGGUCACAUUGGUUGUGAUUUAAGAGGCCCUUCUGGAAAGGGCAUGCCAUACUGUCUCCGUCUUAAUCGCUUAACUCUGCUGCUUUACCAAGAAAUUAGCCACAGGCAAUAGAUAAACACUGAAUGUGAUCAUGUAAUACAGUUACUUAAAAAAGCAGGUGAUGGCUGGAUUUGUCCCUUGGCCAUUGUUUGCCAUUCCCUACUUUAGGCCAAACUCACAGUUGGACACAGCUUGUCUCUGGUGUCUUCUCUCUUCCUCCUCUUAGUUGGCCUCGUGGCCUGUGCUGGCAUCUCACUCCCCAACACCAAUGAUGCUCCCAGGUAACUGACUUGGUUGGCAAGUCACCGACAUGGUGGUCUGUGAAUCUCAAGAGAUUUAUCUUCUAAGGACAUGUUUGCAUUUAGCUUUAAAAAUUUUUAUUUUAUUUUUUUUUUAGAAAUGGGGUCUUGCUGUGUUAACCAGGCUGGAGUGCAGUGGCAUGAUCAUAGCUCACUGCAGUCUCCAACUCCUGGGCUCAAGUAAUCCUUCCAGCUCUGCUUCUCAAGUAGCUGGGACUGCAGCUGUGUGUCACCACACCUGGCUAAUUAAAAAAAAUUCUUUUUUGUAGAGAUGCUAUCUAAGUAUGUUGCCCAGGCUGGUCUCAAACUUGAGGUAUCAAGCAAUUUCUCUGCCUUGGUUUCCCAAAGCAUUGGGAUUAUAGGCAUGAGCCCUACUGUAUCAGGCCUAAUCUGAAGUUAAAAUAAAAAGGCUGGUCUUUAAAAAAUACAGCUAAUUUUAUUUCAUCCAGCCAUAAAGAUGAUGCAUAGUGAUUGUCAAACACUUAGAAAGGCGAGAAGAAAAAAUGUUACAAAUUUUAUUAUAGUCAACAUUUUGGAGCACUAAUGAAUUAAUUUCCUGUUGGAGUAUUUCAGGCUCUCAGGCAUGCAGUUGGCAUCAAUACCUUACACACUAGGCUUGUCUUAAGCUUGACAUAAGAGCAGCUGCUGCCCAUUUUUCUAAUUUGUGAGGGCAGCUCUAUUUCCAUAGCCUCUUUUAUUCUGUCUAGCCCUUAUUUUCAUAUCUCUCCAGUGAGACAAAUUUUUUGACAGAAGUAUUUAAUUAUAAAGAAAGCAGAACUGAGAUAAAAUAAUGUAUGACUUGAGGCAAGUCACAUGUCUGUGGGUCUGUUUCCUCUCCUGGUAAAUGAAGGGGUGCAAAUAGAUGAUGAUGCCCACAUUCUAGUAUUUUGUGAGGCCAGGAGUUCAAAACCAGCUUGGUCAACAUAGUGAGACCCCUUUUCUACAAAAAAAACAAAAAAAUUAGCUGGGUAUGGUGGUGUGCCUCUGUAGUUAAGAGGCUGAGGUGAGAGGAUUGCUUGAACCCAUGAGAUGGAGGCUGCAGUGAGUUAUGAUCAUACCACUGCCCUCUAGCCUGGAACUGCACUCUAGCCUGGACAACAGACUGAGAUCCAGUCUCCUUAAAGAAAACAAAAAAGCAAGAUGAGAGACAAAAUUAAAUGAAACUAGUAUGGAAUUAAAAGCAAAGCCAAUUAAAAGUAUAUUCUGGGCCCAAUAAUAUAACAAUAUUUUGGGAUAUGCUUGUAAGAGGAAGCCAGAGUCAGAGGCAUUUUGGGAAAAAUGAGAAAUUAAGUGAUAAUUUAUUUGGAAUGAAUCAGGUAUUGCAAUAGAAGAACAGGGGAAAUAAGAAUAAUGAAUUUGGCUGGGCGUGGUGGCUCACACCUGUAAUCCCAGUACUCUGGGAGGUUGAGGCUGGCAGAUCACAAGGUCAAGAGAGGGAGACCAUCCUGGCCAACAUGGUGAAACCCUGCCUCUAGUAAAAAAUACAAAAAUUAGCUGGAUGUGGUGGUAAGCGCCUGUAGUCCCAGUUACUCGGGAGGCUGAGGCAGGAGAAUUGCUUGAAUCCAGGAGGCAGAGAUUGCAGUGAGCCGAGGCUGCGCCACCGCACUACAGCCUGGCGCCUGGCGACAGAGCAAGACUUCGUCUUAAAACAAACCAGAAAAAACAAUAAUGAAUUCAUUUAUACUAACAGAUAUAUAUUAACAUAUAAUUACCAUUUAGUCUAACAAGUGCUUUAUUGGAAUAGAGAGGUCACACAUCCUGGAUCAUUACUAGGUCCAAAUUAUCUUAUAAAGUGGCAAAUUUGGAGUGGAGUUGGUAUUGAAGACAACAUUCUAUAAAUUUAUUCAUUUCUUGCGUUGGUGGUGAAUUUGUAUCCAUAUGGUACUGUAGCAACCUCAAUUCUUGCCUCCUUAGAAGAAAGAAUUCAACUGAGGGGCAUAAAGCAGAAAGAGAGAGAUUGUUUUAGAGCAGGAGUAAAAGUUUAUUAAAAAGCUUUAGAGCAGGAAUGAAAGGAAGGAAAAUAUACUUGGUAGAGGGCCAAGAGAGUGACCUCAAAGGCAAGUGCCUGGUUUGACCUUUGGACUUGGGGUUUUACACAUGGGCAUAGUUCUGAGGUCUUGUGUUACUUUACCCCACUCACCCAGCUCCUGAGAUCUUAUCAGGAAGCUGCUGAUUACCAGCUUCAGGUGUUUUCUAUCUAUUAAGAGACUGCCGUUCCCUGUUGUUGGCUGUGACCAAUUAUUACUUUAGAAAGACAGUUAACAACUGCCUGACCAUGACCCGAUGGUUGCCUGACACCACUGGGGUGUGUGUGUGUGUGUGUGUGUGUGUGUGUGUGUGUGUGAACCCUCUCCUGGGGUGUGUGUGUAUGUGUGCGUAUAUGUGAACCCUCUCCUGGGUUGUAAGUGUGUGUGUGUGUGUGUGAACCCUCUCCUGGGGUGUGUGUGUAUGUGUGCGUAUAUGUGAACCCUCUCCUGGGUUGUAAGUGUGUGUGUGUGUGUGUGUAUGUGUGUGUAUGUAUGUGAACCCUCUCCUGCCCUGCUCAUACCUGACUAGCUACCUACUGUAACAAUCACACCUCAACUUUACAAAACAUGAUGAAAUCAUAUUUCCAUGAUUAAAUUUAUUUACUAGUUUAACGACAUGCCAGAUUUUCACUUUAGGACCAAAUCUAACUUUAUAUUUUGGACAGAGGCUAUGGGGAAAGAGAGAAUAAAGCCCUUAAAAAUUAAAUCUCAUAAUUGCUGGAACAAUCUUAACCAAGCCCAGCCAAUAGCUUGUUAUACUCUAAAUAUAACUUGUCAUCUUAUGACAAAAUCCAAUUUUGAGAAUAAGUGAAAAUUCGUUUCAAUUUUUGGUCGCUUAGUGUACUUGAAAACCAGAAACUUAGGGUUGGACCUUUUCAUAUUUAUUUUGUGUCAGGUGAUAGGGAAUGAUCUCCCCUAUGUCCCUAGAAGAAGGUGAGAUUGAUGAAUUGUUUACAUAGGCAAUCAGAAUUCAGUUACUCUAUUAAGCAAUUCAUUGUUUUAACUUAUUUUAGCUUAACAUGGUUUCCACCCCUUAGUCAUUUCUGAAUGACACCCGCAAGGAAAUUUAA